AAGUUCUCAACCACAUCAAUUCUUUGGUGAGGCUUGGACGUGGGGGGUAUUUUUGCGGGCUUCUGAAAAUUUGAAGUCGGCUCCCCUGAAAUGCAUUAGUGGUAUCUGAGCAGAAGAAACUACUACAGGUGUGAUAAUUAUCUAUGCCUCAGUAUGCUGCAUAAUCAGAUUGCACUGCUUCUAACGAGUGGAGAUCCCUUUUGGGGGGACCACAUUUGAUGA
rnacentral:misc_RNA from 1 species